rnacentral:rRNA from 1 species
GUGGGGAAUAUUGCACAAUGGGCGAAAGCCUGAUGCAGCAACGCCGCGUGAGGGACGACGGCCUUCGGGUUGUAAACCUCUUUUAGUAGGGAAGAAGCGAAAGUGACGGUACCUGCAGAAAAAGCACCGGCUAACUACGUGCCAGCAGCCGCGGUAAUACGUAGGGUGCAAGCGUUAUCCGGAAUUAUUGGGCGUAAAGAGCUCGUAGGCGGUCUGUCGCGUCUGCUGUGAAAACUGGAGGCUCAACCUCCAGCCUGCAGUGGGUACGGGCAGACUAGAGUGCGGUAGGGGAGAUUGGAAUUCCUGGUGUAGCGGUGGAAUGCGCAGAUAUCAGGAGGAACACCGAUGGCGAAGGCAGAUCUCUGGGCCGUAACUGACGCUGAGGAGCGAAAGCGUGGGGAGCGAACAGGAUUAGAUACCCUUGUAGUCC